rnacentral:tRNA from 1 species
ACUUAAGUAGUUUAUUUAAAAAUAUUGAUUUGUGGAUUCAGUGAUAUAAUUAAUUUAUCUUAGGUA